rnacentral:rRNA from 1 species
GAGGAACGCUGGCGGCGUGCCUAAUACAGGCAAGUCGAGCGAACGGACGAGAAGCUUGCUUCUCUGAUGUUAGCGGCGGACGGGUGAGUAACACGUGGAUAACCUACCUAUAAGACUGGGAUAACUUCGGGAAACCGGAGCUAAUACCGGAUAAUAUUUUGAACCGCAUGGUUCAAAAGUGAAAGACGGUCUUGCUGUCACUUAUAGAUGGAUCCGCGCUGCAUUAGCUAGUUGGUAAGGUAACGGCUUACCAAGGCAACGAUGCAUAGCCGACCUGAGAGGGUGAUCGGCCACACUGGAACUGAGACACGGUCCAGACUCCUACGGGAGGCAGCAGUAGGGAAUCUUCCGCAAUGGGCGAAAGCCUGACGGAGCAACGCCGCGUGAGUGAUGAAGGUCUUCGGAUCGUAAAACUCUGUUAUUAGGGAAGAACAUAUGUGUAAGUAACUGUGCACAUCUUGACGGUACCUAAUCAGAAAGCCACGGCUAACUACGUG